rnacentral:ncRNA from 2 species
ACUGACCGCACAGAAGAGUCCAGCCCGCCCGGGCUGGCGCCGACGGAGCAACCGCCCCGGAAACUCUCAGGCCCAAGGACUGCGCGGUCCAG